rnacentral:rRNA from 1 species
GCAUAUCAAUAAGCGGAGGAAAAGAAACCAACAGGGAUUGCCCUAGUAACGGCGAGUGAAGCGGCAAUAGCUCAAAUUUGAAAGCUGGCCUUAUGGUCCGCAUUGUAAUUUGUAGAGGAUGCUUUUAGGCAGCCGCCGGUCUAAGUUCCUUGGAACAGGACGUCAUAGAGGGUGAGAAUCCCGUAUGUGACCGGCUCUGGCACCUUAUGUAAAGCUCCUUCGACGAGUCGAGUUGUUUGGGAAUGCAGCUCUAAAUGGGAGGUAAAUUUCUUCUAAAGCUAAAUACUGGCGAGAGACCGAUAGCGCACAAGUAGAGUGAUCGAAAGAUGAAAAGCACUUUGGAAAGAGAGUUAAAAAGCACGUGAAAUUGUUGAAAGGGAAGCGCUUGCAAUCAGACUUGGACUUGGCUGUUCAACCGGUCUUCUGACCGGCCCACUCAGUCUUGUCCAGGCCAGCAUCAGUUUCGGCGGCCGGAUAAAGGCCCUGGGAAUGUAGCUGUUCCUUCGGGGACAGUGUUAUAGCCCAGGGUGUAAUACGGCCAGCUGGGACUGAGGUCCGCGCUUCGGCUAGGAUGCUGGCGUAAUGGUUGUAAGCGGCCCGUCUUGAAACACGGACCAAGGAGUCUAACAUCUAUGCGAGUGUUAGGGUGUCAAACCCUUACGCGUAAUGAAAGUGAACGGAGGUGGGAACCCGCAAGGGUGCACCAUCGACCGAUCCUGAUGUCUUCGGAUGGAUUUGAGUAAGAGCAUAGCUGUUGGGACCCGAAAGAUGGUGAACUAUGCCUGAAUAGGGUGAAGCCAGAGGAAACUCUGGUGGAGGCUCGCAGCGGUUCUGACGUGCAAAUCGAUCGUCAAAUUUGGGUAUAGGGGCGAAAGACUAAUCGAACCAUCUAGUAGCUGGUUCCUGCCGA